rnacentral:rRNA from 1 species
UACGAAAGGGGCUAGCGUUUUUCGGAAUUACUGGGCGUAAAGCGCACGUAGGCGGCCUUGUAAGAUGGGGGUGAAAUCCCCGGGCUCAACCCGGGAACUGCCUUCAUGACUGCAAAGCUUGAGGAUGUGAGAGGUUGGCGGAAUUCCGAGUGUAGAGGUGAAAUUCGUAGAUAUUCGGAAGAACACCAGUGGCGAAGGCGGCCAACUGGCACAUUUCUGACGCUGAGGUGCGAAAGCGUGGGGAGCAAACAGG